AUCAUCCGGAGGUUUUUCAUACCACCUAUCCACCACAAUAGCCCAUUCACUGAACGUUUGGACACCUUUUUCUAGCACUUCUUCCAGAUCGUGUUUCGAAUCAAAGAUGAAUUGGAAACGCUCGCUAGUUAGAGCCACACCUUUGACUCUUCCUUCCUUCUCCCAUUUUCUGGGCAUAUUCCUAAUCAGAUGCUUCAUAGGUUGACAAGCAGGAUUGAGGACUCUUCCAAUUAAGCUUAACUUAUUUCUUUCACAUGACAUGUACUCCGACAGAUCCGGCAUGUCAAAGGGCUCAUCUUUUUCCUCCAGUGACAUUUCCAUCAGCGCUCUAUCCAUAGCCGACGACAUCACUUGAACCGAAGGGAACUGAGAACAACUUAUUUUUCGAACUCGAGAGCAACUAGAACCGGCAAAAAAUAUAGCACAAACUUGACUGAGAAAUCGAAAACUAGGGAGGGUAGCAGUGAAAAGCGGCUGAGGGAAAGAGGGUUAUCCGGUUCUAAGCUCUAUUCAAACCUAAUGAAAGACACUUAGGGAGAAAGCGGGUUCUAAGCCCAAAAGAGGGAUUCUUUUGACGAAUUGACCAGGUGGUUCUCCAUAGUAAUUCUGAAUUGUUUUAGAAAAAGAGUUUGAUACAGGGGCUAUAUAUUUGUGUGUAUGUAAGUAAAAUUUCCAAUCAUUGCAUUUAUAAAUAUUGAUUACAAACACAUGAUAUUAAUUACUAGUAGUAAAUGAUUACUCCUUGUGUAAGUACUAGUCUUGAAGGUAAGAAGAGUAUUAUUAAUUAUGGUCUUGUAUCAACGAUUCAAUUUCUCUAGUCAUUUUUGUAGGUUUGUUAUCGCAGCUUUAUCGUAAUAACAUAUAAUGUAAGAGAACACGCUUAUUUUGUGGUGCUCUCGUAUGAGUGAUCGAUCUCACAUGUUGGUU
rnacentral:sRNA from 1 species